rnacentral:rRNA from 1 species
GGAUUAGAUACCCUGGUAGUCCACGCCGUAAACGAUGUUCACUCGCUGUUUGCGAUACACAGUAAGCGGCUGAGCGAAAGCAUUAAGUGAACCACCUGGGGAGUACGAUCGCAAGGUUGAAACUCAAAGGAAUUGACGGGGGCCCGCACAAGCGGAGGAACAUGUGGUUUAAUUCGAUGAUACGCGAGGAACCUUACCUGGGCUUAAAUGUAGAUUGCAUAGAUUAGAGAUAGUCUUUUACUUCGGUACUAUCUACAAGGUGCUGCAUGGUUGUCGUCAGCUCGUGUUGC